rnacentral:rRNA from 1 species
AUGGCAGCUCCAGCCAAGGCAUCGUGGAUGGUGGCGAUGAGCGUGGGCACUGUGGAGGCGCUCAAGGACCAGGCCGGGCUCUGCCGCUGGAACUACACGCUCAGGUCCAUCCACCGGGCAGCCAAGGCCAACGUCCGCAGCGGCGUCUCGCAGGGUAACAAGCAGCUGCCUGCCUCAGUGUCCGCCGUGGCCGAGAGGCGCCCAGCGGAGAAGGCCGAGGAGGGGCUGAGGACUGUCAUGUACCUUAGCUGCUGGGGCCUAAAUUAG